rnacentral:lncRNA from 1 species
CAAGAAGGAAGUGAGUGCCUUCUCUCUUCCUCCUGGUCUCUGCUCUGGAGUCGCCAUGUGAUCCACCGGCAAGAGAGGGUGCCAGUGGAAGGCAUUCUCUCAUUUUGCCAUUCUCUGCCAGCUGGCCACCACAGUGAAUGUCUACAGAUGCUUCUAUAUCCAUCAGGGACUCGAAUUUCUCAAAUUUGUCCAUCAAAAUUUGAGUGAAGCAUUGUGAAACAACUUUGGAUUUCCAUAUACAUGAAAAAGAAAGUCCCCCUUUGAGCCCCUCUAUCCAUCCUCACCAACAUCAACCCUCUAUGUGGAGUGAAAGCAUGGACCUCCCUAAUUCCCACCCACAUUCCAGGGGACACCAGCAUCUAUUCAUGAGCCACCAUCUAUCUCUCAAUGUCCUUGUCCAUAAUCUUCAUUUUGACACUAUUAGCACCAUCACCCAUUUACAUUUGAAAAAGUCCCAAGAUCGUUCCUGUACUUCUGGAUGAAUAUGGGAUGCAGCAGAAGUUGAGCACUGUCCAGAAUGAGCGUAUUAGACCUCAGUGGAACUAGAAAGGACCACCAGACAGACCACAGUCACCAUCAGAUGACUCUGGUGUGAGAGGCAAGACGGCAGCCAGCAGGAUGUUGGUGGAUCACUUUGUAUGAAGAGUCAUGUUACUUAAAUUGUGUCUGCUUAUUUAUAUUUUAUUUUAUUAAUAUGCAAUUGAG